rnacentral:rRNA from 1 species
UGGCUCAGGACGAACGCUGGCGGCGUGCCUAAUACAUGCAAGUCGAACGGUCUUUCUAUGGAAGCUUGCUUCCACUGAAAAGAUAGUGGCGAACGGGUGAGUAACACGUGGGUAACCUGCCCAUAAGAGGGGGGAUAACAUCCGGAAACGGGUGCUAAUACCGCAUAGUUUUCUUGAUCGCAUGAUCGGGAAAGGAAAGGCGGCCUUUGUGCUGUCGCUUAUAGAUGGACCCGCGGCGUAUUAGUUAGUUGGUGAGGUAACGGCUCACCAAGACGAUGAUACGUAGCCGACCUGAGAGGGUGAUCGGCCACAUUGGGACUGAGACACGGCCCAAACUCCUACGGGAGGCAGCAGUAGGGAAUCUUCCGCAAUGGACGAAAGUCUGACGGAGCAACGCCGCGUGAGUGAAAGAAGGUUUUCGGAUCGUAAAACUCUGUUGUCAGAGAAGAACAAGUUGGAGAGUAACUGCUCCAGCCUUGACGGUAUCUGACCAGAAAGCCACGGCUAACUACGUGCCAGCCGCGGC